AGUUCAGAUUGCAGGCUGCAACUGCCUGCAUGAAGUUGGAAUUGCUAGUAAUCGCGAAUCAGAAUGUCGCGGUGAAUACGUUCCCGGGCCUUGUACACACCGCCCGUCACACCAUGAGAGUCGGGAACACCCGAAGUCCGUAGUCUAACCCGCAAGGGAGGGCGCGGCCGAAGGUGGGUCCGGUAAUUGGGGUGAAGUCGUAACAAGGUACC
rnacentral:rRNA from 1 species